AUGCGACCCCAGGUCAGGCGGGACUACCCGCUGAAUUAA
rnacentral:rRNA from 2 species